rnacentral:rRNA from 1 species
CCUACGGGAGGCAGCAGUGAGGAAUAUUGGUCAAUGGGCGAGAGCCUGAACCAGCCAAGUCGCGUGAAGGAUGACGGCCCUACGGGUUGUAAACUUCUUUUGUCAGGGAGCAAUUGGGUCCACGCGUGGGCUUAGCGAGAGUACCUGAAGAAGAAGCCCCGGCUAACUACGUGCCAGCAGCCGCGGUAAUACGUAGGGGGCAAGCGUUAUCCGGAUUUACUGGGUGUAAAGGGAGCGUAGACGGCAGCGCAAGUCUGGAGUGAAAUGCCGGGGCCCAACCCCGGAACUGCGCUGGAUACUGUGAAGCUGGAAUGCAGGAGAGGUAAGCGGAAGUCCUGGUGUAGCGGUGAAAUGCGUAGAUAUCAGGAGGAACACCGGCGGCGAAGGCGGCUUACUGGACUGUAACUGACGUUGAGGCUCGAAGGCGUGGGGAGCAAACAGGAUUAGAUACCCGAGUAGUC